GCAUGAGAAAUAACUUAUUCCGCAUAAACUAAAAUUUAAAAAGUUUCACAAAAUAAAUUUCCAAAUACACAUUUGUACUAAUCAGUUAAUAGCAUCUGCAAUACAUAAGCCGUGUACAAUAAUCAAAAAUUGAAGGAAAAACUUGCCAAUGUGAGGCUUGAUUAUAACAUAUAUCAGAAAUAAUGUACAAAAUUUUGCAGUGAACAUAAGUAUUUGCUUGAUGAUUCAUGUUGCCACCUUCAUCGCACCCCCUUGAUCUUCAUGCAUCUAAGAAUAUAUGAAGCACACUCACUAGACUGAAAUAAUAAAAUAACAUGAUCUUGUGAGAAACUUAUAUUUGAAUUCUCAAAACAUAUAAAGAUGCAUAUACGGUUACUNNNNNNNNNNNNNNNNNNNCAAGGAGAUGGAAAAAAGAAGUAAAACUUACAAUUUGGCAUAAAAAGAGAUUGAAAUUUCUCAAAGGCACAUUUUCUUGAGUACCCUGUAAAUCAAAAACAAAUAAUUGAAGCAGAAACCCAAGUUAAUUGCUUGUAAAACACAAAACCUAUCAAAUAUUCAAAAUCGCACUCACUACUUAUAAAAUAUAAGGCAUAAUAUCUUUCAAAUUGCUGGAAUAACUCGUAAAUUGAAGUUAAAAAUCUAAAUUCAAGUAAAUGUAAGGAGAUUCAGAAACUCUACGAUAUAGAGACAUGAGCUUACCCGGAAAGAGACAAACCAACACGUUAAAUUUCUGUCUAUAAAUAGAGAACCAGUGGGGAUACCAUCUUGUUCCUCUUUAUCUUUCUUGCGGCCUUAAUUAAGGCCGACUACUGAAGGUGGAAGAAAGACAUAAGAAAAUGGGGAGGGAGAGUGCGGCUGAGGGAGGAAGUAGGAAGUUUAGGUUUAGGUUUUAGAUUUACGUCGUCUACUUUUAUAUAUGUUGCCUUAGUUUACUUCUAAUACAAA
rnacentral:lncRNA from 1 species